rnacentral:rRNA from 1 species
UACGAAGGGGGCUAGCGUUGCUAGGAAUUACUGGGCGUAAAGCGCACGUAGGCGGCUCUUUAAGUCGGGGGUGAAAUCCUGGAGCUCAACUCCAGAACUGCCUUCGAUACUGGAGAGCUCGAGUCCGGGAGAGGUGAGUGGAACUGCGAGUGUAGAGGUGAAAUUCGUAGAUAUUCGCAAGAACACCAGUGGCGAAGGCGGCUCACUGGCCCGGUACUGACGCUGAGGUGCGAAAGCGUGGGGAGCAAACAGG